CCUACGGGUGACAGCAGUGGGGAAUAUUGCACAAUGGGGGAAACCCUGAUGCAGCGACGCCGCGUGAGUGAAGAAGUAUUUCGUUAUGUAAAGCUCUAUCAGCAGGGAAGAAAAUGACGGUACCUGACCAAGAAGCCCCGGCUAACUACGUGCCAGCAGCCGCGGUAAUACGUAGGGGGCAAGCGUUAUCCGGAUUUACUGGGUGGAAAGGGAGCGUAGACGGUUGCGCAAGUCUGGAGUGAAAGGCGGGGGCCCAACCCCCGGACUGCUCUGGAAACUGUGUAACUGGAGUGCAGGAGAGGUAAGUGGAAUUCCUAGUGUAGCGGUGAAAUGCGUAGAUAUUAGGAGGAACACCAGUGGCGAAGGCGGCUUACUGGACUGUAACUGACGUUGAGGCUCGAAAGCGUGGGGAGCAAACAGGAUUAGAUACCCCGGUAGUC
rnacentral:rRNA from 1 species